rnacentral:rRNA from 1 species
GCCUAGCCUCCCCAAGCCCCACAGGCCGCACUCCUCCUCCUUCCCCAUCCCACCCUUGUUAGCCGCCGCCACCAUUCUGCCUCCCUCCUCUCUGUCCUACAACCACACCACCGGAGGAAGCCGCCGUUCGUGGCGCCAUAUCGCUGCCGGGGUGCCGCGUAAGAGGCCAGGGGCCGCCGCCACCGCAAGCCGGCAGGAAGCCAACGGCGAGCACGCCGUCAAGAUGCCGCCAGGAGGACCUACCAUCCGGUCCAUGUCGUCAAGCGAGGGCCGCUUGUUGCUUCGUCGUGGGAGGAGGCGCACCAUCGAGGAGCAGCAGAGGAGGAGACGAGGACCAUCGAGGAGUAGCAGGGGAGGAGACGAGGACCAUCGAGGAGCAGUAGGGGACCGCCGAACUCCCUCUUCCCUUCCGGCUGCACCUUCUCCUUGAGCUCCUUCCAGUCCCUCGCUUCUCCACUCCUACUAUUCACUCUCCCUCCCAUGCUCGUCAUGUGUGCUUUCUUUUGAUUUGGUUGUGCCUGCAGGUCCAUGGACAUUGUCAGAAUGGUCAAUUUAUUCUGGCGUAUUAUUUUCAGAUAUCAUGUUUGUCCAAGCCUCCAAGAUUCAAUUAGAUAGCAUCGUCUUCUCCCCGAGCAGCAAAAUGGAAGCUAGGAAUGUCAACUCUGUUGUGUGUCAGGCUCAGCGAUGCCAGCCUCUGCCCCCUCCCCAAACGAUAUGGUCUGCUUCAGUUCACGCAGUGUCUAGGUGAAGAAUUUGUGGCCAGCAACGAAAAGAUGUCUCUUGAAAAUCUAGGUAUGAGAUGCCUUUUUGCAUCCAGUGUUCUUACAUAUUAGUGUGUUGUGGCAUUGUGACAAAAACAUAUGUCAAUCCUAGAGCAUAGAUAAGUUUACAUUUGCUUUUCUUUUCUCAUUUUUGUUAUGUGAUUUGUUCAGUAGAAUUAUUUCUGUACAUAUCAGGAGCUGGGUUUAGGUGUUUUGUUCAGUAGAAUUGUUUCUGUACAUAUCAGGAGCUGGGUUUAGGCUCCACUAGAUCAAAGUUUUGGCUCUUGUUUCUCAAGUUCUGUAGAGGUUAGAGGAGUAAUUAGUGUUCUCUUUCUGUUGAAUGGGUGUAUGUGGAUGCAUACAUAUAGUAGUGGAGCAAUUUCCAUCCUCUAUUUUUUUACUGAGCAUACGUGGAUGCCCAUAAAGUGUUCAUUGUUUUUUUUAACAAGUAAAUAUUGAUGCACAGAAAAUUUAUAUGGUAGUUUCCAUUCUGGUUUACAUGGGUAGUACCUGAACCUUAUUUAUAUUUCCACUCCUAUGGAUUUAUUUGCAAUUCUUGUUCUUGACAUAUCAGGAGUUGGUGUUGGUGUUACAUUCUACCAGAUCCAUUUUUUGCUCAUGUUUCUUAGGUUCAAUUAGUGUUCUCCAUUUUUCUGAUAAGUGAAUGUGGACACAUACAGACAGUAGAGGAAAAAAGAUACGCCAACACUGUUCUACGAUCUGUUGCAUCUCUGUUCUCCUUGUUAAGGUUAGGUGCUCUAUUUCCUAGGUACACGUGUAUUAUCGUUUAUGUGGGUGCUAUCAUGGUGCUUGCUCUGCUGAUCAUUGUAAUGUUCUGGAUCUGGGGUGUGGCUGCAGGAGAGGGGAGGCGGCCAAUGACAGGGAGAAGGAGCAGGCUGUCGAGGAGUGCAAGCAAAAGAGUAAGAUGUGUAUUUUUUAUUGCCUCAAAUGAUUCAGAUUAAGGGUGACAAUAUGUAUGUGUUUGGUUGGGUGGAAAAGUCCCGCUUCCGAUUACAACACUUUCGUAAGACAGUAGAAGUCGUUUGGUUCAGCCCUUCUGUUUUCUGUUACGAUGCUAUUCAAUACAGCGCUUCACUUCUGUGGAAACAUCCGAUCAUGGCUGGAUACAAAAUCCUCUCUGCCACGUAUUCGCUCGUGUCCGAACCAAACAAAACACGUAUUCUGGAAGAUAUAUCGGAAGCAGCGCUUCCCGGUCAGUGUCCUGCUCUGUAGCCAGUCUUCAGUUAUUCUAUCACAUCACAUGUGUCUAUUUGACAUCUACUUGUUUUCUGUAUAUAUGUCUUCCAUUCCAUGUAUCCUUGGGUGCUUAUAUAAAGUUUGUAUGUAAUUACUUUAUGACGCUUGACAGAUCAUCCCGAAGAAUAAUUCUGCAAAACAAUUAUUAGUCCUGAUGGAUUUUGUAUUUUAAGCUGUACAGUUCAUAACAUAUCAUUUGGAACGGAUGGAAUACAUGUCUCAGUUAACUUGAUUGAUUUGUUUGUCAGAUAAAUAGCACGGAGAACAUAUUAGUGCUAUAUGUGUGUCUAAGGUCUCCAAGAGAUGCAGUCAUAGACAGUGACUGGUCCCUGAAGUUUGGGACGUUAAGGAUAAAAGCAAGCAGUUUUCAGAAACUUUUAGUUGUGGCUCAUGCGUAAAUUUUGAAACACAAAUUUCUUAACUUGUCAAAUGUAGCAGAAAUAGUUAAGAUUUAAUCACCGCUACUUCCUGAAAUGCAGGUUGGAGCAACUGGGAAAUCAUUGACAAAUGUGGUCUCAGUUGGAGUUGGUGGUAGCUUCCUUGGACCUCUGUUUUUGCAUGCAGCUCUCCAGAUUGACCCGAAAGCAGCAGAGUCCGCCAAAGGCUGGCAACUGAGAUUGUAAGCGUGUACUUGGGGUAUGUUUCUGUAUUUCUUUUGUUGACACCUGUUACAUGUUCUUCUCGCACUUCCUAUGGAUGAUAAAAAAUAUUAAAUGUGAUCGAGCAGAGGCUUCCUUUUUGUCUUUCUGCACCAUUCAUGCAACCCUAACCAGGAAUUCUUUCAUUAUUGGAGUCUUUCAUUGUAUAUAUAACUAUAUAUUGAUGCAAGGUGGGAGAAGAAGGAGGUGGCUGGCCUUUAUUGUGUUUUGGUGUGGUUCUCUCCUAUUUAAUGGUAGAUAUGAUGUAUAGGUUCAAGCAUGUGAUGUUUCUUUCAGUGCAUAUUUGUGCUUUACGAUGUUUGAUGCACAUAUAGUUGAACCUCUUACUCCAUGUAAUACUUUGCCAAAGAAGAAUUUAUUAAUGUUGGUGUUUUUUCUCUUUUCAGAUUUUAGCCUGGGUGCAUAAACAUACAUGCCCCACAUUAUAUUCAAAUUUCAGUGCAAGCUUAAACUGGGGAUAAAUCAUUAUGGAAGGGAAAUGAAUGAAUAACAAACUGUAUAGAUUUAUUAUCAUAUCAUUUAUUUUUGAUUGCAUGAUCUUAAUUGCUCAUCUCUGAAAAUAUUCUAGGCUCUUGCUCUUGGAAGAUUAGACUGAUGUGGUUUUGCUUUAUGAAUAAAUGGCGUGCAAACUUACUGGUUUGAUUUAGGUGUGUAGGCAGAGGAAACAAAAGAAUCAUAAUCCCAGGUUUAGGCAUGCACAUGGUCACUGAUCACAAAGUAGGUAGGAACAUGUGCAGUAUUGUGAUUUUCAGCAAGAGAAAGAGAAACAUAGUUAAUUGUACGUAUUUUAAGCUACACUAUGUGAUGUUGCUCUAUUAUAAAGGCCUUGCUUAAAUGCUUGUUUGCAAUAUGUAUUGCAUUUCCAGGGAUUAUCCUUUUGCUUAUUGAGUAUUUCCUAUGUUAUAUUUCGUCCUCAGCUUGGUCACUGUAUGUGAUUAUUUACUCAUUUUGAGCCAUUUUGCAACCAAGCUUGACUUCUUUUAUUUUGCGAUCUGAGUUAUGCACACCAAAAUUAGCCCACGUAAGUUUGAACCAUAUUGAACAUGUUAGAUCACUCUCCUGUAUGUGAUGAUUUACUCUAUGGAGCCAUGUUGUGACCUAGCUUGAGUUCUUUUAUUUGCGAUCUGAGCUGCAAAAUAAAAAUAAAAAUAAAAAUAGUCCACGUAAUUCGAACCAUAUCUGAACAUUUUAGUAUUUGAAUACUGAAAUUACCAAACAUGAUCUUCACUUCGCCAUUUGUGACCCCACAGUGCUUUAACUAAGCUAGCUAUAGUAAUAUUAUGUUUUACAUGGCUAUGCAAGUUAAAGGUUCUAAUAUAGUGUACGUUUAUCAAUAUUUUGUGUUAUACUGAUUAAUAUACUUCACAUAUAAGUUUUAAGCUAAUAGCUCCUAAUAAUUGUUUCUCCGCUUUGCAGUUGCCAUUUUAGUCAUAUUUUUUCUGAGAUAAAGAAUAAUAUUGAGAUGAAUUUCCUUUCUGAUGAUGAGAUUGGGUAUGCCUAUGUUUUGUAUUUUUCAGUAUUAUUUUAUUUCAGGCUUCGCUUAGCUGAGAGAGCUAAUAGAUAAUAUGGUAAACAAUUUCUAUCAAGUGGGUGAGCUCCAUUUUUCAAGGUAAGUCAGGUGACAGCCAAAAAAAUACCAAGGAGAUGAGUCUCUUAUCAGUUGUUUUGAUCUUAUCCAGGUUCUAUUUUCUUUCAGGCCAUGAGUUACGAUGUCCUGGUUAGAGCUACUACAUUCAAAGAGUAAAUCUGUUUCAUUGUAUCUGUACAUUGUAUGAAAAAGGUGCAUCUAUUAUGCCCCGUAGAAAUUUCAGCUGAGCAAUUGUGUAGACUUACGAAGCUAUCAUGACGGAUGUUAGUGAUUUCUGUAUUGGGGCCAUGUUACAUCUCUAGGGUUGAAUUAAUGGCUAGAAAUUCAGAGUUACAUAGCUGAAAACAGGGUUGCUCGAAGCAAACAAGCUGCUUAUUCAGUAUUUUUGACACUCAUGGAAAAGGUAUAUGCUCAUCCUAAAUUCCUAAUUAUUAUUAUAUCACAUAACUGAAAGUGCAUUAGACCAAUGGUGUUAUCAGAAAUAAAUAAUUUUUGCCCCAUAGCUGAACUGUGUCCUCAGUGUGUAUAUAUGUUAGAGAUGUGUAAGAUUCAGAUAUUUUUAUUCAUUUGUUAACUUUACCAAUGUAUGGCUGACAUGCUUCAUUAUGUUAUAUCACAUCUGAAGGUGCAUUAUACCUGUGGUUUAUUAGAAUGCAUAAUUUCGGUCAAAUAAUUGAGUUGUUCUUUUCUUCGGUGUAUAUACAAGUUACAGAUGUGCAUGAUUAUGUUUAUUCUCUACAUUUGGUAAAUUCACCUAUGUAUGGCUGACAUACUUCUUUAGGUUAUGUUUCUAAAGCUGCAUGCUUAAUCGUCCAGAAUGUUUCCAAGUGACUGCUUUACACAUGGGAGACUGGAUGCAUGGAGGAGUUCAGAGAAGCUGGUGUUAUGUUACAUAUGGUCUUCAAGCUGAUGUUAUGUUUCUUGCAUGGUUUGUGUAUUUCUUGCAAAAACAUAGUACAAGAAAAAGAUCUAUGCUCAUGGAGAUGGCAGAAGGGAACUACAUGUGGAACAAGAACCACUAGCGCUGACCAGUUGGGCAUCUGGAUAGUGGUAAUGAACAAAAAUUGCUUGCCUUAUAGAGUCAAUGUAAUCUACUACUAUCCCACUUGCUGAUUUUUAUAUUAUGAAACCAUAGUAUGUAUUUACACUCCUAUUGUGAGAUUGUACUAUGUAAAUUAUGGGAGGACAAUGUAGGCCUUUAUAUGCAAA